rnacentral:rRNA from 1 species
UAGGGAAUCUUCCACAAUGGACGCAAAUCUGAUGGAGCAACGCCGCGUGAGUGAAGAAGGUCUUCGGAUCGUAAAACUCUGUUGUUAGAGAAGAACACGAGUGAGAGUAACUGUUCAUUCGAUGACGGUAUCUAACCAGCAAGUCACGGCUAACUACGUGCUAG